GUGUAACACGCUGGAACCCACCACUUAGCCGUCGACACUCCGCCAUUGUGUGCGCCAGAGACUCAUCGCUCGCCUCGGCGCCAUUAAUCCAGGUGAAAUGAAAGCUGGAUGCGAGUGCGGAUGCGGAUAUGUGAGGAUUCAAUGAAAUGGAAACUAACAAAAUCAAA